rnacentral:rRNA from 1 species
UACGGAGGGGGCUAGCGUUAUUCGGAAUUACUGGGCGUAAAGCGCACGUAGGCGGCUUUGUAAGUAAGAGGUGAAAGCCUGGAGCUCAACUCCAGAACUGCCUUUUAGACUGCAUCGCUUGAAUCCAGGAGAGGUGAGUGGAAUUCCGAGUGUAGAGGUGAAAUUCGUAGAUAUUCGGAAGAACACCAGUGGCGAAGGCGGCUCACUGGACUGGUAUUGACGCUGAGGCACGAAGGCCAGGGGAGCAAACGGG